UCUGAAGGCAGGGAAGCCACAGGUGGUGGUGGUUUGUGCAUCCGAGGGGCGGUGAUUGGGUCCAAUGGCGUUACAGCUCGCAUGCCGGCGUCCCCGGUACUCAACAUCGACGACAGCAACUUUGAUGAAUUGGGUGGCGGUAGUUCAAGAUGUGGAUUAGGUUUUUCGGUGGCCAUUGGUGACGGCGAACAGGUUUCGUGACGAUACACGAGUGGAGAACCACGAGGGAUGUUAGAUCGGAGGUUUGCAUAGCUAGCCAGUGACGGCGCUCAAGUGCCUACGGUUCCGAUCAAGUUCUGGCAACUUUUCGGUGUAGUUUCACACUUGGAUGUUGGCAAAGGGCUGUGACAAACUGCGGCAAAUAGUAAGGAUGCAAAUACACGAGGAUCUUGAUGUGAGGUGAGAUCGCUCUUAUUAAUGUUGCAAGGCAAGGGCAUAUCUCCAAUGCUAAUACCUCAUUGAACACGUACUGAAACUGAUGAUGACAUUACUUCUUUGUUCUUAGCUGUAGUUGCAGACUCACUCCAAUGUUUGGAGCUAUUAACAUAGGUACACCAAUAUCUCU
rnacentral:lncRNA from 1 species